GACGAACGCUGGCGGCGUGCUUAACACAUGCAAGUCGAACGAUGAUCCAGAGCUUGCUCUGGUGAUUAGUGGCGAACGGGUGAGUAACACGUGAGCAAUCUGCCCUUGACUCUGGGAUAAGCGUUGGAAACGACGUCUAAUACCGGAUACGACCCUCGGAGGCAUCUCCUGGUGGUGGAAAGAAUUUUGGUCAAGGAUGAGCUCGCGGCCUAUCAGCUAGUUGGUGAGGUAAUAGCUCACCAAGGCGACGACGGGUAGCCGGCCUGAGAGGGUGACCGGCCACACUGGGACUGAGACACGGCCCAGACUCCUACGGGAGGCAGCAGUGGGGAAUAUUGCACAAUGGACGAAAGCCUGAUGCAGCAACGCCGCGUGA
rnacentral:rRNA from 1 species